ACGGAGACAAAGUUUCCGUUCACUCCUCACACCAUAACCCGCUCUUACAUUGUAGGGGCGGAUU
rnacentral:sRNA from 1 species